CUGCGCCGAGGCAUAAGAGCCGAUGACUCAGCAGGAAGCUCCCAGACUCCGGGGGCACAGAUUGGGAGGGGAUAAACGUCCGGGGAAUCCUUUGUAGGGGGCCCUGCCCGAGGCACCAGCUCGAGCUGCUACGAUGUGUCUGCACCACGUUUAAAUUACUCAAGGAACAAGAGAUGUGGGACUCUGCCACGGGAAACCUGGAGUCGAGUUGGGUUUCUGUCUCCUGUUCUUGGAAGUGGCCGAAGCUGCUGUGAAAUGGCCUCCGGGAUGUUGGUACACGGGGGAGUCACGUAUAAGAAAAUAAGGAAGAGCAGGUAACUCUGCCACCUGUGAGAAGUCUGGCUAGGCCUGACAGGGCAAACACCACACAGAACCUGGCUGCCACCUUGGAUCUGGGAACCUGCCAUCCUGCUUGUGUUCAGGCAGUCCAGUUUGCUCUCAUCCUCACCCUCCUUGAGUAUCCAGAAGCUGUAUCAGCAGUUCAGGAAGUGAGACCUCUUAGUUCCUGCUUGACCUUGCUGGCUGUGCCACUGCAGGAGGCAGAAUCCCAAUGGAAGCAUUGCUGCAGGCAGCUGGGAAGGGCUGCCCUGUUCCUCAGGUCAUGGAGAGAUCUGCUGCUGCCAGCCAGGUUGA